rnacentral:tRNA from 1 species
UUAGUUAAAGUCAAAAAGAGACAUUUCAUUGUUAAUGGAAAAAAUGGCCUACAGCCUAACUAAA